AAUAUUGCGCAAUGGAGUGAACUCUGACGCAGCGACGCCGCGUGGGCGAUGAAGGUUUUCGGAUCGUAAAGCUCUGCCCUGGGGGAAGAAGGUCUUCGGACUUUACCGUAUCUAAAGAGGAAGCCCCGGCCAACUACGUGCCACGAGCUGCGGUGAUACGUAGUGGGCAAGCGUUGUCCGGAAUUAUUGGGCGUAAAGGGUGCGUAGGCGGCCUUUUAAGUCAGGUGUGAAAGACCACGGCUUAACCGUUGGAUUGAAUUUGAAACUGGAAGGCUUGAGUAUAGGAGAGGGUAGUGGAAUUCCCAGUGUAGCGGUGGAAUGCGUAGAUAUUGAGAGGAACACCAGUGGCGAAGGCGACUACCUGGACGAAAACUGACGCUGAGGCACGAAAGCUAGGGGAGCAAAC
rnacentral:rRNA from 1 species